rnacentral:rRNA from 1 species
ACAGCCGGACGGUGGCCAUGGAAGUCGGAAUCCGCCAAGGAGUGUGUAACAACUCACCGGCCGAAUGAACUAGCCCUGAAAAUGGAUGGCGCUAAGCGUGCUACCUAUACCCUGCCGGAGAACAGAAAGCUCUCCGAGUAGGCAGGCGUGGGGGUGGUGUGGAAGGGUGCUUGUGAAGGUGCCUGGAACCGCCCCUAGUGCAGAUCUUGGUGGCAGUAGCAAUAUUCAACGGAGCCGUUGAAGACCGAAGUGGGGAAAGGUUCCACGGGAAGGGAGAUCCUCCGUGGGUGAGACGGUCCUAAGGCGCGCGUACGGUAGCGUCCGAAAGGGAAGACAGUCAAGAUUCUGUCUCCGGGGGAAUGAGUGGUGACACGAGACGGCCAAAGACGGUGGCGGAAGGCGUAGGAGGAGUUUUCUUUUCUUCUUAAGGGCGUUGUGCCUGGAUGGUUUAGCCGGCGAAGGGCAGUAAAACCCGAUCCAGCAUCCAGCAUCCAGCAUCCAGCAUCCAGCAUCCAGCAUCCAGCAUCCAGCAUCCAGCAUCCAGCAUCCAGCAUCCAGCAUCCAGCAUCCAGCAUCCAGCAUCCAGCAUCUGACAACCGCAGCAGGUCUCCAAGGUGAACAGCCUCUGGUGAUAGAACAAUGUAGAUAAGGGAAGUCGGCAAAUUGGAUCCGUAACCUCGGGACAAGGAUUGGCUCUGGGGGUCGCUUUUAUCGACCAACCCAGAACUGGUACGGACAAAGGGAAUCUGACUGUCUAAUUAAAACAUAGGGUGGUGCGAGUCCCAACGGAUGUGCACACCACCUGAUUUCUGCCCAGUGCUCUGAAUGUCAAAGUGAAGAAAUUCAUCCAAGCGCGGGUAAACGGCGGGAGUAACUAUGACUCUCUUAAGGUAGCCAAAUGCCUCGUCAUCUAAUUAGUGACGCGCAUGAAUGGAUUAACGAGAUUCCCACUGUCCCUAUCUACUAUCUAGCGAAACCACAGCCAAGGGAACGGGCUUGGCGCGUCAGCGGGGAAAGAAGACCCUGUUGAGCUUGACUCUAGUUUGGGCCGUGGGGGAACAUGGGGGGUGUAGUAUAGGGGGGAGCCGUUUCGGCGGCGCCCGUGAAAUACCCCCACCCCUAUAGUUCCUCCACUAAUCGCAGAGAAACCUCCAGGCGGGGAUUUGGCUGGGGCGGCACAUCUGUUAAACCAUAACGCAGAUGUCCCAAGGGGGGCUCAUGAAGAACAGAAAUCUUCAGCCGAGCAAAAGGGCAAAUGCCCCCUUGAUUUUGAUUUUCAGUGUGAAUACAAACCAUGAAAGUGUGGCCUAUCGAUCCUUUACACCCUCAGACCCUGAGGCUAGAGGUGCCAGAAAAGUUACCACAGGGAUAACUGGCUUGUGGCAGUCAAGCGUUCAUAGCGACAUUGCUUUUUGAUUCUUCGAUGUCGGCUCUUCCUAUCAUACCGAAGCAGAAUUCGGUAAGCGUUGGAUUGUUCACCCACUAAUAGGGAACGUGAGCUGGGUUUAGACCGUCGUGAGACAGGUUAGUUUUACCCUACUGAUGAGCCCCACGGCAGUAAUUGAACUUAGUACGAGAGGAACCGUUCAUUCGGACAUUUGGUUUUUGGGGCUGCCUGACAAAGCAGCCCCGACGCUACGUCCGUCAGAUCAUGGCUGAACGCCUCUAAGUCAGAAUCUGUGCUGGGGUGGGGAGGAGUGUACAAGAAGGAUAUAUUUCAUAGCAGCAUUCCACAAUCUCCCGCCCACGACUUGACCCCGACAGGGUAUUGUACGCAGAAGAGUGGCCUUGCCGUCACGAUCUGCUGAGAUUAAGCCCCGGUCGAGCGAUUGGAACUUCCAUACCGAAGGAAACACACCGAGCGCAGCGAGGUUGUGUUUCCGAAGACGUAAUCCCACCAAGCGGUACCAAGCGAGCGCAGCGACGCUGGUUGGUGAACUUGUAUUCUUCCACCAACAGUCAACCACCAGUCAACCACCCACCAAGCGUACCAAGCAACCGCAACAACGCUGGUUGGUGGACGCAAAUCUCCACCAGUCAACGCCCACCGAGCGUACCAAGCAACCGCAACAACGCUGGUUGGUGGACGCAAAUCUCCACCAGUCAACCACGCCCCGUCGUACCCCGACAGACCCUCCUUGUUGAGUCCAACAGGCGGCCCUGUCCUGCUCCGCUCCCGUGGCCUGCCGUUCCAUUGACCACCUGGAUCUGUGAGGAUUGUCCUGGACUUGAGAUUCUCCUUGGAAGUCCUCACGUGACACCUCCACUUCCAAAACUGUCCCACCUGGACUUGCACUUGCACUUGCACGCACUUGAAAAACUAUAGGAACUUGAGACCUUCACCUGACCUCACCUUGACUCCCCCAGCCUCUCCGCCCAGCUGCGCUCCGCUCGCCGGACCAUCUCCCGCGGUUGGACUUGCCAUCAUCUUGACUCCCCCCAGCAUCACCGCCCAGCUGCGCUCCGCUUGCCGGCCACCCUCCCCGCAUGAUCUCCCGCGGUUGGACUUGUUGUUUUUUUCUCUUGCCGCAGAGUUUUCUCCUGCUUACAUAAUACACAUCCCAGAUAAGAUAAGAUACCAGACAAAAGACACCAGACAAGAUAAGAUACAAGACCACACAUUACGCGUGGACCGUGUAGUAAACACGUAAACACGUAAACACGUCCAGUCGACGCGUCAGUCUCAACAUCAUCAUGCCGAGUGCCGAUCAAAGACCAACCGAAAGCCGACGACACCAACCAACCCGUCCUGGACUCGAACCUGGAACUCAGUCAACCUCAAGUUCUGAGCCAUCUGAAUGACCAGGCUCGAACCUAGUACUACGCCUGGAUCGCCAAAAACGACUGCGUCGCAAGCUUUCCCAGUUGUCCACUAGGCCACAAGAGUGGAUUCGAAAUAUUCUUGCUAAGCUGGGCCAAGUCAGGUUGGGUUUUUGACACGUGAGUAGUCAUGUGAUCCACAUUAGAAUCCAAUUAUCUCUACAACCAGACAUGGUGGCCACAAGUUAGCUAUCACAUUGUGGUUGCAAAAUCGUACUCCAUUGCACUGGACCCACCAAUUGGAGUUUGCUAGGAAAAAGUGAGAAAAAUACCCUAAAUAUUUGAAAAGUCAACUAGUAAUCUUUGGAAGAGUUGUGAGAAAAUCUUAAAAACGAAAAAAAUGAAAAUGAAUUUUCAACAUCCUUAAAUAUUAGGAAAAACGGUAACCUAACUACAUGGAUCGAAAGAGUGGGUCAUGAGGAGUCGAAUGGUAGUGCAAUCUUCUGGCUACUGUGUCUGUAGACCCCAAGUUUUGUCGUUUGAAAUUUUUCUGCUUACAUAACUGUUUACGUAACCCGCUUACAUAAUUGUCCAGAUUGCUUACAAAGCUGCUUACCUAACCGGUUUCGAGCUUACAUAAGUGUUCAAAGCUUACAUAAUGGGUCAAUCUGCUUACAUACUGGGCUCGAGCUUACAUAAGUGUUUAAAGCUUACAUAAUGGCCAAAGCUUACAUAACAGUUUACGUAAACCACAAGCUUACAUAAUGGUCAAAGCUUACAUAACAGUUUACGUAAACCACAAGCUUACAUAAUGGUCAAAGCUUACAUAACAGUUUACGUAAACCACAAGCUUACAUAAUGGUCAAAGCUUACAUAACAGUUUACGUAAACCACAAGCUUACAUAAUGGUCAACCGCUUACAUAAGUGCUCACUUACAUAAGCGUUCACUACAUAGCAUUCACCACCUCAACCCAUUUUGGUGUAUUCUGAUGUUGGGGUUCUCAAACUCCGGAUCAGGGCCUGAACCGCAGAAAUCAGCGCUUUCCCCGCCUGGGAUUUGCAUGUUUGCCCUGUAAUCUAAAGUUCCCCUUCCAGCGAAACAUUCUUCCCGCCCAGAAUGCCCAGCAAGGCAAUUCGCGGAUACUUGUCCCAUCUCACGGUCUGAAAAAUCGUAAGUCGAAAUCGCACAUUUGUUAGGGACGUCUCGCGCACACCAGACUCCUAACAAACAGUCGACCAAUUCACUCCGCUAGUCCACCCAACGCAUAUCCACCUAGUCUAGUUUU